rnacentral:misc_RNA from 1 species
UGUUUGAAUACAAAUAAUAUUUGCUCUCAUGUGACCAUUGUUGCGAAGGCUUGGUUUGUAGAUAUGUAGCAGACAAUUGAAUAUCAUCUUACAUUCUUACUGCUUGGAAUUAACAGAAAGGAGAAAAAGAACAGAGAAAAUCUCCUGGAUGAGCAGUACAUGUUGCCAGGGACAAUACACUCUUGAAACUUCAUGAUAAUUGAUACAGCAUUCUAUGUAGUAUUAUAUAUAUAUAAAUGUUCAAAGGUCUAGCAUGUUUAUGCUACUGCUAUUGUUCCCAGUCCACUACUGAGAGCUUCUAAUUUCCCCGUGCUUCAUUCCACUUCUCAAUGUUUCUAAGUCUCGCAUACAUCUUUCGAAUCUUGUUAAGUUUUUGAGACUGAUCAAUUAUAAUACCAGCUGUUGACGGAUUCUCACUGAAGACUACCUCGUAACCAUCUCGGAAUGAGUCCAUUCCCUCAAUGAAAAGUUGCCAGAACAUGCCACCUGCAGCUGCACCUCCGCCCCUAGCCGACGAAUAUAUUGCUGAGUAGAUUGUAUUGAACAGCUGGUCUCUUUGUUCAUAAGGGGAGGUUUUAGAUGAUUUUCCAAACUCAGCAAAGAGAACUGGCUUUCGAAGUAUGUUCUGUGAAUCCUGGAUGUGAUUGUUCAGCCAAUUGUUCAAAAAAGACUCCUGGCUUUCACUAUCUGAACUAGGCAGCCAUUGGUCAGGAUAAGAGUGAACUGUUGCAAAAUCAAUGCCUGGAAUCUGAUUGUUUGCAAUGAAAUCUGUCCCUAUUUGAAAAUUUGGAUUGUAUUGCUGUUUUUGAGAUGA